AAGAAACUGAGGCACUAAAGGAAGACAUGACUGCCCAGGGUCUCCCAGCUGGCUAGGCACCCACUGGGAAUGAAACCCAGCUCUCCUGACCCAAGACAAGCCCUCUUUUCUCCCAUCUCGACACCCGCACUUGGAAAUGGGUUGCUGCAGUAGGAAUUUGAAGUCUAGCAUUUUUUCCCCUUGCAAUCAAUUGAUACUGAUUUUCUUAUGAGUACAAAAUGAAUUGUCCAACACCAUUCGCAUAUCAGCUUGUGGCAGCAGUAAUAGUCACUAACAUUUAGAAAGGGGUGGCAUGGAAUUCACCUAGAGUUGACUCCCCACUGUGUGGUCAGUUCAUGAGCAUCUGCCCUGUGCUCAGCACCUUUCACACUGAUGUGACAAAUUCAGGAUGCAUCUCCAACUUUAAUAUGUACAUGAGUCACCUGGGAAUCUUGUUAAAGUGCGGAUUCUGAUUCAAGAGGUCUAGGUGGGACCUGAGACUCUAAUAAGCUCCCAGGUGAUCCUGGGGUUGCCAGUUCACAGACCACAUUUUGGGUAUUGAAAGUCUAGGUACCUCUGCUAGUUUGCUGAAUGCAACUGAGAAAGAAACCUCAGGGUUAAUGCUUGCAUUUUUCUGUCUUCAUUUCUCCAUUGUCCUACUCUCCUCCCUUGGAAGGCUCCAGCUUAGAAAAAGAAAACAUUAUGAAAUAGCAGUGCCAAACCUGAAUUACAAUGUUAGGCAUGUAAUUAUCUGGGCAAAAGCCAGAUGUCUCAGACUAGGGUUUAGUACAGCUUGCCAGGGCUGGGUAAAGUUCCUAGAUUGAAGACACAGUUGAGACUACAUGACAUAUGCAAGAGAAAAGGGGUACCUGUGCCUGAAACUCUGGGAGGUGAGAAGUGGACAAGGGUUACUGCUGCAUAAGUAAUUGAGGAAGCUUCUCCUUCCCCACCAGACUGCAAACUGAGAUGUUUGCAUAUUAAUCUUGGCCACAGGGGUGACUCGGUCUGUGUCUGCAAAUGAAAGGUUUCAUCCUUGGCUGUGAAAUAAAAAUAGCAAAUAGCAUGUGGCAUGCAGGGGCUUUUCCUCUAUAAGGGGCUGUCACUGUCCACUGUUUAAAGCCUCUGCUUGAGCCAUCUUCAAGGAAGGAGGGUUGUGAAUGAGUGGGGGCAGAUUGCAGAGCCAGUUCGUAGACAGCAGAGAUGCUCCAGGGAAAACCUCCCUUCUCUUGCUGUUUACAUUUGCACAUACUUACCAGUUUGCCAGAACUUCUUGGUGUCAACAACUUUGACUGAGACUGCGCCACGUGAAUGUAUCUCCUGGGGACUCAGAAGAUAGCUCAGGAGGUAAAGGCAAGGCCCCCGCACUGUGAUCUGACUGAGCUUAGGAGAAUUGGGCUCCUCAAAUCUUUUUGCAAACUCAGUUUCUUCUCAGAGGAAAAUGGUAACAGUGACAAUAAGAAAAAAAUAAAACCGUAUCUCUAAAGUGGAAAAGGCUAUAACAGUUCCCAUUACUCUUCUGGAGGGAAAACCAGUUCCAGUGGGCCUAGGGUUCCACAGCUAUGUAGGGCUUCUUUACAACUGAAGACUUUAGACCAUUUGGUUUGUAUUCAGUAGGACCAGGUGGAAGAUGUGAGGAUGGGAUGGUGAAUGGGAGGUAGAUAUCUGACUUUAGAUUUCUAGGCAUUUGCCAAAAUAUUCCUCCUCCAGUCAAGACUUGUUGCCAUCGGUGAAAAUGGUUAGUCACCUUAUAACAGUUGUGAUCUUCCUAAAUGCGCUCAGCAAAGGCAAAUGGAAUGUUCUGGAUUACCAACCAAUGGCCCAGAAGGUUGUACAUCACACUGGGAAUUGUUGCUGGUCUCUUUUGUUCGAAGUUGAACUAGAGAGGUGGCAAGCAGAGGUGGAACACUCUCAUCAGUUACUAGAAAGAUUUCCCACCACCCAGAUAAGCCAUAAACCAUCUGAGGGAAAGAAAGACUAAUUCCCUCAGCCAAUAUCAGCUCUAGCUCGAUAAUAAUUCCCAUCUUGGAGAUGGGAAUAGGGAAGGCAAAUGCCCUCUUCUUCAACAAGUCUCAGAGCUUACUGUAGUGUCUCAAGGAUAAGGCUCCUAUGACCCAAGAG
rnacentral:lncRNA from 1 species